CCCGCACAAGCGGAGGAGCAUGUGGUUUAAUUCGAUGAUACGCGAGGAACCUUACCUGGGCUCGAACGUAGAUGACUGUAGGUGAAAGCUUACAUCUCUUCGGAGCAUUUUACGAGGUGCUGCAUGGUUGUCGUCAGCUCGUGCCGUGAGGUGUCGGGUUAAGUCCCAUAACGAGCGCAACCCCUACCUUUAGUUGCCAUCAGGUUAAGCUGGGGACUCUAAAGGAACUGCCUACGCAAGUAGUGAGGAAGGCGGGGAUGACGUCAAAUCAGCACGGCCCUUACGUCCAGGGCUACACACGUGCUACAAUGGCCGAUACAGAGGGCAGCUACCUGGUGACAGGAUGCAAAUCUCCAAAGUCGGUCUCAGUUCGGAUCGGAGUCUGCAACCCGACUCCGUGAAGUUGGAUUCGCUAGUAAUCGUGGAUCAGCCAAGCCGCGGUGAAUACGUUCCCGGGCCUU
rnacentral:rRNA from 1 species